UACGUAGGGGGCAAGCGUUGUCCGGAUUUAUUGGGCGUAAAGAGCGUGUAGGCGGCCAUACAGGUCAGCUGUGAAAACUCGAGGCUCAACCUCGAGACGUCGGUUGAAACCGUAUGGCUAGAGUCCGGAAGAGGAGAGUGGAAUUCCUGGUGUAGCGGUGAAAUGCGCAGAUAUCAGGAGGAACACCAAUGGCGAAGGCAGCUCGCUGGGACGGUACUGACGCUGAGACGCGAAAGCGUGGGGAGCAAACAGG
rnacentral:rRNA from 1 species